GUAGGUGGCAAGCGUUGUCCGGAAUUAUUGGGCGUAAAGCGCGCGCAGGCGGUCCUUUAAGUCUGAUGUGAAAGCCCACGGCUCAACCGUGGAGGGUCAUUGGAAACUGGGGGACUUGAGUACAGAAGAGGAAAGCGGAAUUCCAAGUGUAGCGGUGAAAUGCGUAGAGAUUUGGAGGAACACCAGUGGCGAAGGCGGCUUUCUGGUCUGUAACUGACGCUGAGGCGCGAAAGCGUGGGGAGCAAACAGGAUUGGGAUACCCUGGUAGUCCACGCCGUAAACGACGAGUGCUAAGUGUUAGGGGGUUUCCCGCCCCCUUAGUGCUGCAGCUAACGCAUUAAGCACUCCGCCUGGGGGAGUACGGCCGCAAGGCUG
rnacentral:rRNA from 1 species